rnacentral:rRNA from 1 species
AACGAACGCUGGCGGCAGGCCUAACACAUGCAAGUCGAGCGCCCCGCAAGGGGAGCGGCGGACGGGUGAGUAACACGUGGGAACGUACCCUUUGCUACGGAAUAGUCUCGGGAAACUGGGGGUAAUACCGUAUGUGCCCUUCGGGGGAAAGAUUUAUCGGCAAAGGAUCGGCCCGCGUUGGAUUAGGUAGUUGGUGGGGUAAUGGCCUACCAAGCCGACGAUCCAUAGCUGGUUUGAGAGGAUGAUCAGCCACACUGGGACUGAGACACGGCCCAGACUCCUACGGGAGGCAGCAGUGGGGAAUAUUGCGCAAUGGGCGAAAGCCUGACGCAGCCACGCCGCGUGAGCGAUGAAGGCCUGGGUCGUAAGCUCUGUGGGGAGAGACGAAGAAAGACCUGUGAAGAGCAGGCCUUGACGGUAGUCUCCUUAGCAAGCACCGGCUAACUCCGUGCCAGCAGCCGCGGUAAUGUACAGUGU